ACAGAGCUACAAGCUACAUGUCCCUGGCCCCUCUCCCUAGGAGCACAGAGUUCCAGUGAAGAACCUAAAGCACAAACACUGACAGCUGUAAGAUGAGGAAACAGAAGCUGGGAUAUGUGAGUAAACAUUUCCAAGGUCCUGCAGCUAAUCAAUGGUUGACAACUUCUUUCCUCUGCCUAUGUUGCCAUCCAUGUCAUGGUUUGUGUCAAGACUCUAGGAGAAGUCUACCAUCAGCACCACAGCUACUGUGCACAAAUCCAGAAUGCCAGACUGAAGUCAGAAGGAAAGAGAUGAUGCAGCUCAUUGCUGAUGCUGAGAUCCAACGUCCAGUGCCUGAGUACCCCUGGAUUCUGAGCACUAGGGGCUGGACUGUGGAGACCAUCAGUUCAUAACAUCCUGUCCCUGCUCCCUGCUGUAGAUGACUGAGACCAGGGUUCUUAAACAAGGGAGAAGCACUCUCAUACCCCUAGAACAAGAUGAACAAAAGAAGGAGGAAAAAUCUUGACCUCCGUAAGAUCCAGGAUGGCACGUGCAAGGCACUGACACAGCAUCUGCCGGCAUCACUGACUCUCCUGGACCCCAGAAGCCCAGUUCCCCAGGCUCUGAAACCCUGCAGCAAUGAAAAGGAAGCACAGGCAAACCAUAAGGAAGAUAAUUUUUCUACUAAAAAAUAAAUAGAAAUGCAUCCUUAGAGGCAGGUUUCAUGAGGACACAGAGAAUCCGGUUUUGUGUGUGCCUGAUUUCGUUUUUCUGUCAAAGAGAUACAAAACAAUCAACUGAGUUAUCUUGAACUUACAAAGAUUAAAAAUAAUCAAUUCCUGUUACUAUUUUCAAUUUUUCCCCCAUUUUACUUCUUUAGGUAUGAAGAAAUGUAGCCUAUUAAAACCUGGAUUAAUAAAAACCUUUCAUUAACUUUUAGAA
rnacentral:lncRNA from 1 species